rnacentral:sRNA from 1 species
AUCACAUUUAUGAUCACAAGUAUACUAUUUAUUUAACCAUGCUAUCAGCAUAUGACAAAGAAGACCAUUUAUAGGAAAUUCAAAGCAGAGAAAACAUGAAGUUCACUAUUCAUAUGAUGGUAUUAUCUUCAUCUCUCUGAGUUUCUCCACCCAAAAUCUGAUACUCUUAAAGGUAUCAACAUGACCAAAAAAUCCAUAUUCUCUACUCUUGUUCAUGCUAGAUACAUGUUGAAACUUAAAACUUAGCACCGGUUCGAGGGCGUCAUAGCAGCUUAUUUCCUCCAAUACGGUAUUCUGAAGCUCGAAUUUUUCCACAAUCUCCUUCCAAACGCUACCCUUAUCACGCAUCAGCUCUACCAAAUCAAACCUUUGCGUUUCGUCAAACGCCACAAACUCCACAUCGAAAACUUCACACAGCAACUUCCAGAUGCUCUUCCACGUGAAAACGUCGCCGUUUGUGCAAUUGAAUGCCUCGUUUUUAGCUUCUGGGGAAACCGCAGCCCACACGUGCUGCUGCGCCAACACUCCGGCAUCGGUCAUGUCACAGAAAUGCUCCCACGUGUACUUCGUUCCCGGGUACCGAAACGCCAAUCCCACGUGGCGACAAAUCGCAGCGUAGGUUGCUAGCGUGAGCAGCGCGUUGUGUGUACUCCUGGACGACGCGCCUAUUAUAAUAGAGGAGCGGUGCACUGAGUACGUCAACGACGGCGUGUAGGAUGCAACAAGAUCUUCUAGCGCGUAGUAGAAGUUGGGGUAAGGGAGCCGCGCCAUGUUUUCGCGAAAGGGCGAGUCGUGGGAGAUGAGUUGGGUGGAAUGGACCGGAUCGAAAAUUGGGCCCAUGUAGUGUUUGGUGCCUGUUUGGACCGUCACGUGGGCAAGCUUUGAAGAGGCGCAAGAUUUGAGGGCGCUGAGAACGUUGAAGAGCAUGGUUUUGUUGAUUCUUAUGUUGACUUCUUCAUCUGCACGAAUCUGAAAGGUAAUCCAGAACAGGUGCGUGACUUCACUCGCAACGGGUGAAAGCUUGGCGCGUGUGUCGGAAGAGUCGACAGCGUCAAAGGUGAUGAAGUGGUCGACUGUGGAAGGAGGGAACCAACUGGGCGGGGGCCUGCGAGCGGCGCCGUAAACUUUCCAUGGGCCUCCGGGACAGUUGGGCUGCUUGAGGGCUUGGGCUAGACUCAGCCCAGCCAUCCCUGUGACACCAGCUACCAGUGCUACAAAAGCUUGGGAUUCCAUCACUGCUGUUCUC